UGCCCUAGUAACGGCGAGUGAAGCGGCAACAGCUCAAAUUUGAAAUCUGGCUCUCGGGCCCGAGUUGUAAUUUGUAGAGGAUACUUUUGAUGCGGUGCCUUCCGAGUUCCCUGGAACGGGACGCCAUAGAGGGUGAGAGCCCCGUCUGGUUGGAUGCCAAAUCUCUGUAAAGUUCCUUCAACGAGUCGAGUAGUUUGGGAAUGCUGCUCUAAAUGGGAGGUAUAUGUCUUCUAAAGCUAAAUACCGGCCAGAGACCGAUAGCGCACAAGUAGAGUGAUCGAAAGAUGAAAAGCACUUUGAAAAGAGAGUUAAAAAGUACGUGAAAUUGUUGAAAGGGAAGCGUUUAUGACCAGACUUGGGCUUGGUUAAUCAUCUGGGGUUCUCCCCAGUGCACUUUUCCAGUCCAGGCCAGCAUCAGUUUUCCCCGGGGGAUAAAGGCGGCGGGAAUGUGGCUCUCUUCGGGGAGUGUUAUAGCCCACCGUGUAAUACCCUGGGGGGGACUGAGGUUCGCGCAUCUGCAAGGAUGCUGGCGUAAUGGUCAUCAACGACCCGUCUUGAAACACGGACCAAGGAGUCGUCUUCGUAUGCGAGUGUUCGGGUGUCAAACCCCUACGCGUAAUGAAAGUGAACGCAGGUGAGAGCUUCGGCGCAUCAUCGACCGAUCCUGAUGUUCUCGGAUGGAUUUGAGUAAGAGCAUACGGGGCCGGACCCGAAAGAAGGUGAACUAUGCCUGUAUAGGGUGAAGCCAGAGGAAACUCUGGUGGAGGCUCGCAGCGGUUCUGACGUGCAAAUCGAUCGUCAAAUAUGGGCA
rnacentral:rRNA from 1 species